GUGGUUAUAGCUCAAUUUGGUUAGAGCGCCAAUCUGUGGAGUUGGAGGUUAUGAGUUCAAGCCUCAUUAAUCACCCCA
rnacentral:tRNA from 1 species